rnacentral:rRNA from 1 species
AGUCCUUGGCCGUUAAUUGAUCUGCUCCACAUCCACCGCGGUAAGGAUGCCUUACACAUGCAAGCUCGCAACGGCGCACAGACUUCGGUCUGGUGGCGAGUGGCGAACGGGUGAGUAAUGUAUCGGAACGUGCCCAGUAGCUGGAGGGAUAACUACGACGAAAGCGAUAGCUAAUACCGCAUACGCCCUACGAGGGGAAAGCAGGGGAUCGCAAGACCUUGCAACUAUAAGGAGCAGGCCGAUAUCGGAUUA